rnacentral:rRNA from 1 species
GAUGAACGCUGGCGGCGUGCCUAAUACAUGCAAGUCGAGCGAACGGACGAGAAGCUUGCUUUUCUGAUGUUAGCGGCGGACGGGUGAGUAACACGUGGAUAACCUACCUAUAAGAAUGGGAUAACUUCGGGAAACCGGAGCUAAUACCGGAUAAUAUUUUGAACCGCAUGGUUCAAAAGUGAAAGACGGUCUUGCUGUCACUUAUAGAUGGAUCCGCGCUGCAUUAGCUAGUUGGUAAGGUAACGGCUUACCAAGGCAACGAUGCAUAGCCGACCUGAGAGGGUGAUCGGCCACACUGGAACUGAGACACGGUCCAGACUCCUACGGGAGGCAGCAGUAGGGAAUCUUCCGCAAUGGGCGAAAGCCUGACGGAGCAACGCCGCGUGAGUGAUGAAGGUCUUCGGAUCGUAAAACUCUGUUAUUAGGGAAGAACAUAUGUGUAAGUAACUGUGCACAUCUUGACGGUACCUAAUCAGAAAGCCACGGCUAACUACGUG